rnacentral:rRNA from 1 species
GUGGGGAAUCUUGCACAAUGGGGGCAACCCUGAUGCAGCGACGCCGCGUGAGCGAUGAAGCCCUUCGGGGCGUAAAGCUCUUUCGACCGGAACGAUAAUGACGGUACCGGGAGAAGAAGCUGCGGCUAACUACGUGCCAGCAGCCGCGGUAAUACGUGGGCAGCAAGCGUUGUUCGGAGUUACUGGGCGUAAAGAGUGCGUAGGCGGUUUUCUAAGUUCGGUGUGAAAUCUCCCGGCUUAACUGGGAGGGUGCGCCGAAGACUGGGAAGCUGGAGUGUGGGAAAGGCAGGCGGAAUUCCUGGUGUAGCGGUGAAAUGCGUAGAUAUCAGGAGGAACACCGGCGGUGUAGACGGCUUGCUAAACCAUAACUGACGCUGAGGCACGAAAGCGUGGGUAGCAAACA